GAGCCGGACGCAGGCGUGCCUGCGCAGUGCGCGGAGGAGUGCUGUUCGUGUGUUCGAGUCCCUGGGUUGCUUCCUGGGGUCUGUGGUGCUGGGUGUGCUAUCUGCGUGUGAUUCUCUAGCGAGAGAUUGUGGGCGAGUGACCGAGUGGGCAAGGGGCCGUCACUGUGUGUGCGUGAUUUUGACAGUGUGUGGUGGUAGCUUCUGACUCCGCGUGGGUCGUUGAAUGUAUGACUGGGACCGUUUAGCGGUGGAUACACAACUGUGUGCGGCUGUGGAAGAUUGCCUCAUCCGUUACGUUCCCAUUUCCGUGGAACAACAGUUUUACCAGAAGGUUUCGAAGGAACCUUAAAGUUUGGAAGCGCGGCUUUGGUGUCAUCAAAUGUGAGAAGCCCUGGACUUUACACAUCCCGAGCCAGUGUGAUCCAGUAUGAUUGGGAGUCCGAGUGCCAGAUGCCGGUCAGGACCUGUUAUGCUGGGUCUCAGAAUGCGGAAACUCUCCCUGUCCGAGGUGGAACAGUUUGUCCUUGAGUGAGGACUGGAGUCCUGAGUGACUCUUUUGAUUUGAUCCUGUUUCCCU
rnacentral:lncRNA from 1 species